rnacentral:tRNA from 1 species
GGUCCCGUGGUCCAGCGGCAACGACUCCUGGCCUACACCCAGGAAACGAUGGUUCGAUUCCAUCCGGGACCA